GAUGAACGCUGGCGGCGUGCUUAACACAUGCCAGUCGAACGAUGAAGCUCAGCUUGCUGGGUGGAUUAGUGGCGAACGGGUGAGUAACACGUGAGUAACCUGCCCUUAACUCUGGGAUAAGCCUGGGAAACUAGGUCUAAUACCGGAUAGGAGCGCCUACCGCAUGGUGGGUGUUGGAAAGAUUUAUCGGUUUUGGAUGGACUCGCGGCCUAUCAGCUUGUUGGUGAGGUAAUGGCUCACCAAGGCGACGACGGGUAGCCGGCCUGAGAGGGUGACCGGCCACACUGGGACUGAGACACGGCCCAGACUCCUACGGGAGGCAGCAGUGGGGAAUAUUGCACAAUGGGCGAAAGCCUGAUGCAGCGACGCCGCGUGAGGGAUGACGGCCUUCGGGUUGUAAACCUCUUUCAGUAGGGAAGAAGCGAAAGUGACGGUACCUGCAGAAGAAGCACCGGCUAACUAUGUG
rnacentral:rRNA from 1 species